GGAAAAGAAACCAACCGGGAUUGCCUUAGUAACGGCGAGUGAAGCGGCAAAAGCUCAAAUUUGAAAUCUGGUACCUUCGGUGCCCGAGUUGUAAUUUGGAGAGGGCAACUUUGGGGCCGUUCCUUGUCUAUGUUCCUUGGAACAGGACGUCAUAGAGGGUGAGAAUCCCGUGUGGCGAGGAGUGCGGUUCUUUGUAAAGUGCCUUCGAAGAGUCGAGUUGUUUGGGAAUGCAGCUCUAAGUGGGUGGUAAAUUCCAUCUAAAGCUAAAUAUUGGCGAGAGACCGAUAGCGAACAAGUACAGUGAUGGAAAGAUGAAAAGAACUUUGAAAAGAGAGUGAAAAAGUACGUGAAAUUGUUGAAAGGGAAGGGCAUUUGAUCAGACAUGGUGUUUUGUGCCCUCUGCUCCUUGUGGGUAGGGGAAUCUCGCAUUUCACUGGGCCAGCAUCAGUUUUGGUGGCAGGAUAAAUCCAUAGGAAUGUAGCUUGCCUCGGUAAGUAUUAUAGCCUGUGGGAAUACUGCCAGCUGGGACUGAGGACUGCGACGUAAGUCAAGGAUGCUGGAUAAUGGUUAUAUGCCGCCCGUCUUGA
rnacentral:rRNA from 1 species